UACGGAGGGUGCAAGCGUUAUCCGGAUUCACUGGGCUUAAAGGGUGCGUAGGUGGAGUGGUAAGUCAGUGGUGAAAUCUCCAAGCUUAACUUGGAAACUGCCGUUGAUACUAUCAUUCUUGAAUAUCGUGGAGGUAAGCGGAAUAUGUCAUGUAGCGGUGAAAUGCUUAGAUAUGACAUAGAACACCGAUUGCGAAGGCAGCUUGCUACACGAUCAUUGACACUGAGGUACGAAAGCGUGGGGAUCAAACAGG
rnacentral:rRNA from 1 species